rnacentral:misc_RNA from 1 species
UGAUUGCGUGAGGGAUAGAAGCGGCAUCCACACAGCGAAGCGAAGUGGAUAUAGCGGAUAGCCCGACCCCGG